UACCAGCACCCCGAGUGGUCGGGACGUUUAUUGGGCCUAAAGCAUCCGUAGCCGGUUCUACGAGUCUUCCGUUAAAUCCAACUGCUUAACAGGUGGGCUGCGGAAGAUACUAUAGAGCUAGGAGGCGGGAGAGGCAAGCGGUACUCGAUGGGUAGGGGGUAAAAUCCGUUGAUCCAUUGAAGACCACCAGUGGCGAAGGCGGCUUGCCAGAAUGCGCUCGAUGGUGAGGGAUGAAAGCUGGGGAGCAACCGG
rnacentral:rRNA from 1 species